AGGAAAGGUACUACUACCCCCCACACAUAUAUAAAGGGAAAGGUACUACUACCCCCACACAGAUAUAAAGGGAAAGGUACUACUACCCCCACACAUAUAUAAAGGAAAAGGUACUACUCACCCCACACAUAUAUAAAGGGAAAGGUACUACUCACCCCACACAUAUAUAAAGGGAAAGGUACUACUCACCCCACACAUAUAUAAAGGGAAAGGUACUACUACCCCCCACACAGAUACAAUGGGAAAGGUACUACUCCCCCACACAGAUAUAAAGGGAAAGGUACUACUACCCCCCACACAUAUAUAAAGGGAAAGGUACUACUCCCCCCACACAUAUAUAAAGGGAAAGGUACUACUCACCCCACACAUAUAGAAAGGGAAAGGUACUACCCCCCCCACACAGAUACAAAGGAAAGGUACUACUCCCCCCACACAGAUACAAAAGGAAAGGUACUACUCCCCCCACACAGAUACAAUAGGAAAGGUACUACUCCCCCCACACAGAUACAAAGGGAAAGGUACUACUACCCCCACACAUAUAUAAAGGGAAAGGUACUACUCCCCCACACAUAUAUAAAGGGAAAGGUACUACUCACCCCACACAGAUAUAAAGGGAAAGGUACUACUCCCCCACACAUAU
ensembl:lncRNA